GGCGUGUUCCGGGGUCGGUGUGAUUCCGAACCGGCGGUGACAGCCCGCGAACCUCGCACCCGCGAGGCCGAAUCGGUGAAAUUCCGGUGCCGACGGUGAUGGGCGCGAGCCCUAGUCCGGAUGAGAGGAACGCUGA
rnacentral:ncRNA from 2 species